ensembl:snRNA U1 U1 spliceosomal RNA
AUACUUACCUGGCAGGGGAGAUACCAUGAUCACGAAGGUGGUUUUCCCACGGCGAGGCUUAUCCAUUGCACUCCGGAUGUGCUGACCCCUGCGAUUUUCCCAAAUGUGGGAAACUCGACUGCGUAAUUUGUGGUAGUGGGGGACUGCGUUCGCACUUUCCACUG